rnacentral:rRNA from 1 species
UACAGAGGUCCCAAGCGUUGUUCGGAUUCAUUGGGCGUAAAGGGUGCGUAGGUGGCAUGGUAAGUCGGGUGUGAAAUCCCGGGGCUCAACCCCGGAACUGCACUCGAUACUGCCGUGCUCGAGUACCGGAGAGGAGGGUGGAAUUCCUGGUGUAGCGGUGAAAUGCGUAGAUAUCAGGAGGAACACCGGUGGCGAAGGCGGCCCUCUGGACGGAUACUGACGCUGAGGCGCGAAAGCGUGGGGAUCAAACAGG